AAAGACCCAACCCGGUAAAGUUUAGCGAACAGCCGGUACAAGCCUUGGAGCCGAAGCCGCGAGGCUAGUUUUAAGCGUAGGCAUGGGAGUAUGAAAGCUGCAAUACGAAAGUGUGAAGCGAUUGAGCCCCGUUAGACUGAUAUGCGGAAGCCGAUGCUUUGAUAGUAGUAGCAGGCAUUAAUGUAUCGCUCGAUAGCGCGAGAGCAUGCAGGUUCCGCCGGGGUCGGAGAGCG
rfam:Mahella australiensis 50-1 BON, complete genome.